GACGUAGGGCGCAAGCGUUGUCCGGAAUCAUUGGGCGUAAAGAGCGCGUAGGCGGCCAGAUAAGUCCGGUGUGAAAGUCACAGGCUCAACCUGUGAAUGCCGCUGGAAACUGUCUGGCUAGAGUCCGGGAGGGGCGAGUGGAAUUCCUGGUGUAGCGGUGGAAUGCGCGGAUAUCAGGAGGAACACCAACGGCGAAGGCAGCUCGCUGGGACGGUACUGACACUGAGGCGCGAAAGCGUGGGGAGCAAACAGG
rnacentral:rRNA from 1 species